rnacentral:rRNA from 1 species
CGGACGGGUGAGUAAUGUCUGGGAAACUGCCCGAUGGAGGGGGAUAACUACUGGAAACGGUAGCUAAUACCGCAUAACGUCGCAAGACCAAAGCGGGGGACCUCCGGGCCUCGCGCCAUCAGAUGAACCCAUAUGGGAUUAGCUAGUAGGUAAGGUAACGGCUUACCUAGGCGACGAUCCCUAGCUGGUCUGAGAAGAUGAUCAGCCACACUGGGACUGAGACACGGCCCAG